rnacentral:rRNA from 1 species
GACGAACGCUGGCGGCGUGCUUAACACAUGCAAGUCGAACGGAAAGGCCCUGCUUUUGUGGGGUGCUCGAGUGGCGAACGGGUGAGUAACACGUGAGUAACCUGCCCUUGACCUUGGGAUAACUUCAGGAAACUGGGGCUAAUACCGGAUAGGAGCUCCUGCUGCAUGGUGGGGGUUGGAAAGUUUCGGCGGUUGGGGAUGGACUCGCGGCUUAUCAGCUUGUUGGUGGGGUAGUGGCUUACCAAGGCUUUGACGGGUAGCCGGCCUGGGAGGGUGACCGGCCACAUUGGGACUGAGAUACGGCCCAGACUCCUACGGGAGGCAGCAGUGGGGAAUAUUGCACAAUGGGCGGAAGCCUGAUGCAGCAACGCCGCGUGCGGGAUGACGGCCUUCGGGUUGUAAACCGCUUUCGCCUGUGACGAGGCGUGAGUGACGGUAAUGGGUAAAGAAGCACCGGCUAACUACGUG